rfam:Diaporthe ampelina DA_912_scaffold_v01_17, whole genome shotgun sequence.
GCGGGUGUAACUCAGUUGGGAGAGUGUCAGACUGAAGCCUCACUUCAGUACGAAAUCUGAAAGUCAUGUGUUCGAUCCACAUCAACCGCA